GGCCGGCGAAUUUCGCCCCUUUAGAGUUUGAUGGUGGCUCAGGAUGAACGCUAAGCGGCAGGCUCUAAUACAUGCAAGUCGAGGGGCAGCAUAGUCUUCGGACUGAUGGCGACCGGCGCACGGGUGCGUAACGCGUAUGCAACCUACCCACAACUGGGGCAUAGCCCGGAGAAAUCCGGAUUAAUACCCCAUAAUGCAGGGGUACCUCCUGGUGCUAUUUGCUAAAGAUUUAUCGGUUGUGGAUGGGCAUGCGUCUGAUUAGUUAGUUGGUGAGGUAACGGCUCACCAAGACCACGAUCAGUAGGGGGUCUGAGAGGAUGAUCCCCCACACUGGCACUGAGAUACGGGCCAGACUCCUACGGGAGGCAGCAGUAGGGAAUAUUGGGCAAUGGGCGAAAGCCUGACCCAGCCAUGCCGCGUGAAGGAUGAAGGCCUUCUGGGUUGUAAACUUCUUUUAUACAGGAAGAAAAAGGUCAUGCGUGACCAAUUGACGGUACUGUAUGAAUAAGCACCGGCUAACUCCGUGCCAGCAGCCGCGGUAAUACGGAGGGUGCAAGCGUUGUCCGGAUUUAUUGGGUUUAAAGGGUGCGUAGGCGGUCUGUUUAAGUCAGUGGUGAAAUCUCUCGGCUCAACCGAGAAAACUGCCAUUGAUACUGGCAGGACUUGAGUACGGACGAGGUAGGCGGAAUUUAUGG
rnacentral:rRNA from 1 species